CCUACGGGUGGCUGCAGUGGGGGAUAUUGCACAAUGGGGGGAACCCUGAUGCAGCGACGCCGCGUGGGUGAAGAAGCGCCUCGGCGCGUAAAGCCCUGUCAGCAGGGAAGAAAAUGACGGUACCUGAAGAAGAAGCCCCGGCUAACUACGUCCCAGCAGCCGCGGUAAUACGAGGGAUGCGAGCGUCAUCCGGCGUCCUUGGUUUUUAAGGGUGCGCAGGGGGGCGUUUAAGCCGGCGGUGAAAUCGCGGGCCUCAACCCCGCCGAGCCGUCGGAACUGGGGGCCGUGAGUGCGGCGGAGGCAUGCGGAAUGCGCGGUGUAGCGGUGAAAUGCAUAGAUAUCGCGCAGAACCCCGAUUGCGAAGGCAGCGUGCCGUGCCGCCACUGACGCUGAGGCACGAAAGCGCGGGGAGCGAACAGGAUUAGAUACCCGUGUAGUC
rnacentral:rRNA from 1 species